AGCUCCAGAUAGCAUGCGUAUCCGCGUAAAAUACGCAUCAAAAAUCAAAAAUACGCAUCAGUUUUAGAAUCCAUGCGUCACAGUUACGCAUAAUAAAAUCAAAAUACGCAUGCAUAUUCAAAAUAAUGCGUAAAGCGUAAUCACUAACCCAGGUAAGGAGGAAGUUUACAUAAAGCGCGGAUGCUUUCACGCGACGUGAGAGUGAUUAUACAAUGUUAAUUAACGACCGGGAUCCAGGUCAGACGAGUUCACUUUCAUCGGGGGUAAAGAAGGGUCAUGCUAACGAUUUCGAGACGUUUCGGCCCAAGACAUAUCGGCCCCAAAUUACCCAAUACGAAGUAUUUUUAAAUCCACAGCGUGGACAGACAUUCUUUUUCUUAUAAAAAAAAAAUACUUGAUUUUUUUUUCGAAUGUAUUAUCAUAAAAGAUUCCAUAACUAAUGAUACAACGAUGCAAAAAAAAAAAAACCGAUGCCCAUGAAAAAUUUUAAUGUGUUCAACUUUUUAGUUGCGUAUGACCUAAUCUUCGAACAUUAUUUUUUAGUUGCGUAUGACCUAAUCUCCGAACGUUUUCAACAUUUUGAUUUUGUUAAAAGAAUAAAUUUAUACAAGUUAUAAAUACCACUUACAACAUCUUCAGAAUGUCACAAAAGAAGAUUUUUAAUUUCUUUCAAAGCACGGAGAAGUCAAACUCAUUGGUAUUGGUGAAGGGUAUAUUGAAUGACUUAGUCAGUGAUGUUAUUAUUAAAAAUUCAUCAAAAAAACACGAAACUGUAAAUGACAAAACAUUAGAAAAAUGGAAACAAAAUUACCCAUGGUUAAUUGUAUCUGAUAUGCAUGAAAAAAAGACAUUGAAAUGUAAAUUAUGUUCUGAGUUUAAAACAAGUACAAUAUGGGCAAAGGACGGUACAACCAAUAUUCAAAAGUCUACUCUUGACCGUCAUAAUGAAUGUGAUCCCCACAUUGAAGCAUGUAAAUUAUCUAUCAAAAAACUUGAUAUGGAACUCGCACCAGAGAACAAGUUGGAAAAAGGGCCUCCCUUGGUGAUGUUUCCCUUGAGGCUCUCAUGAGGGUCAGCCUGUUUGGACCAAGUGUUGAGAAUUUUGAUAGUGAACAAUGUGCUAGGCAGUGGUUGACCAAGAGAAGGCGAAAAAAGAGACUUACUGCGGAG